rnacentral:rRNA from 1 species
UACGGGGGGGGGCAAGCGUUGUUCGGAAUUACUGGGCGUAAAGGGCUCGUAGGCGGCCAACUAAGUCAGACGUGAAAUCCCUGGGCUCAACCCAGGAACUGCGUCCGAUACUGGUUGGCUUGAAUCCGGGAGAGGGACGUGGAAUUCCAGGUGUAGCGGUGAAAUGCGUAGAUAUCUGGAGGAAUACCGGUGGCGAAGGCGGCUACCUGGCCCAACAUUGACACUGAGGCCCCGAAAGCGUGGGGAUCGAAACGAAGG